UAAUGUGGCGAACCGGGGGAACUGAAACAUCUAAGUACCCCGAGGAAAAGAAAUCAACCGAGAUUCCCCCAGUAGCGGCGAGCGAACGGGGAGGAGCCCAGAGCCUGAAUCAGCAUGUGUGUUAGUGGAAGCGUCUGGAAAGGCGCGCGAUACAGGGUGACAGCCCCGUACACAAAAGCGCAUGUGCUGUGAGCUCGAUGAGUAGGGCGGGACACGUGGUAUCCUGUCUGAAUAUGGGGGGACCAUCCUCCAAGGCUAAAUACUCCUGACUGACCGAUAGUGAACCAGUACCGUGAGGGAAAGGCGAAAAGAACCCCGGCGAGGGGAGUGAAAAAGAACCUGAAACCGUGUACGUACAAGCAGUGGGAGCACAGGUUUACCUGUGUGACUGCGUACCUUUUGUAUAAUGGGUCAGCGACUUAUAUUCUGUAGCA
rnacentral:rRNA from 1 species